AAAAUAACCAAAGUCAUCCAGUUCGACAGGGAUGAGUCCUGUAUGAUUGGCUACGGGUUUUCCAUCUCAGUGGUGGAGGAGGAUUCAGUGCAGCAGCUCUACAUUACCGAUGUGAAGGCGGGAGGAUUAGCCUUCGCUAAAGGUCUGAAUGCGGGGGAUGAGAUCUUGCAGCUGAAUGGGAAAGACUCGUGCAAAUUGAAGUUCGGGGACAUGAAGGGGGCGUUUUCCCAGGCCUCUCUGUCCCUGACCGUCAACACU